rnacentral:rRNA from 1 species
AGUGAACGCUGGCGGUAGGCCUAACACAUGCAAGUCGAACGGCAGCACAGUAAGAGCUUGCUCUUACGGGUGGCGAGUGGUGGACGGGUGAGGAAUACAUCGGAAUUUACUUUUUCGUGGGGGAGAACGUAGGGAAACUUACGCUGAUACCGCAUACGACCUACGGGUGAAAGCAGGGGGUGUUCGGACCUUGCGCGAUUGAAGGAGCCGAUGUCGGAUUAGCUAGUUGUCGGGUUAAAGGCCCACCAAGGCGACGAUCCGUAGCUGGAGUGAGAGGCUGAUCACCCACCCUGGAACUGAGACAGGGACAAGACUACUACGGGACGCAGCAGUGGGGAAUAUUGGACAAUGGGCGCAAGCCUGGUCCAGCCGUACCGCGUGGGUGAAGAAGGCCUUCGGGUUGUAAAGCCCUUUUGUUGGGAAAGAAAAGCAGCAGGUUAAUACCCAGCUGUUCUGACGGUACCCAAAGAAUAAGCACCGGCUAACUUCGUG